rnacentral:rRNA from 1 species
GACGAACGCUGGCGGCGUGCCUAAUACAUGCAAGUAGGACGAGUUGCGAACGGGUGAGUAACGCGUGGUAACCUACCUAUUAGAGGGGGAUAACUAUUGGAAACGAUAGCUAAUACCGCAUACUAGUAGAAGGACCUGCGUUGUAUUAGCUAGUAGGGAGGGUAAUGGCCUACCUAGGCGACGAUCCCUAGCUGGGCUGAGUGGAUGACCGGCCACACUGGAACGGAGACACGGUCCAGACUCGUACGGGAGGCAGCCGUGGGGAAUAUUGCACAAUGGGGGCAAGCCUGAUGCAGCCAUGCCGCGUGUAUGAAGAAGGCCUUCGGGUUGUAAAGUACUUUCAGCGAGGAGGCGUUACUCGCAGAAGAAGCACCGGCUAACUCCGUGCCAGCAGCCGCGGUAAUAC